GGGCUGCCCUUGCGGCAUAUGGGGGUUCCCAGGAUAGGGGUCUAAUUGGAGCUGUAGCCACCGGCCCACACCACAGCCACAGCAACACCAGAUCCGAGCCAUGCCUGUGACCACAGCUCACAGCAACAACAGAUCCCUGACCCACUAAGCAAGGCCAGGGAUCGAACCCACAACCCCAUGGUUCCUAGUUGGAUUCAUUUCCACUGCACCAUGAUGGGAACUCCCUAAAAUAAGAAUUUACAUGGGGAAGGCAUAAAGUCCUAGAUUACCACUCACAUAUUUUAAAAAAUGAUGUAGCUCUUUGUGUACUGAUAGAGAAAUAUGUCCAAGCUACUUGUUACCAUUUGAAUGAAGGCUAAACAUAUUUAUUACCUGUAUAUAAAUUAAGCACCUCUAUAAAGGAAUAUUAGAAAUUGUUACGAUUGCUUGUGUCCUGGGGAGGAGUCUUGCUAUGUUUGCAGGGUGAAGAUAUAGAGAUAUUACAACAGAAAAAGAGUCAAAGAGACAUGGCAUUAACGGCUUUAAAGAUAGAGGAAAGGAGCCAAGAUGAAGGAAAUGUGGACAGCCUUAGAAAACAAGAAAAGGAAAAGAAACAAAUUCUCCUAGAUCUUCCAGGGAGGAAUACAGAUCUACCGGCACCUUGAUUUUAGCCUAGUAAGACUUGGGUUGAACCACUCCACAUUUGUGUGCCUGUGGCAACAAAGAACCCAUAGCUUUUGGAUUGCAUGCCCUAAGACCUUAGAAAUUUCUACCCAGUCCUUAAAAUGAUGCUGCAUAAUCUCUUGAAACAUGAGGUAUUUUGUAUUUUCUGAAGUGCUGACAGGUUAAAAAAAAAAAAAAAAAAACAACCACAAUAUAGCAUGAAAUUAUAAAGAUACAUACUCACCAACAUAACAGUAGGCCAUGGUUUAUUGCAAUUAUGCAUUUUCAAAUUAUGUAUUUGAGAAAGAAGGAACUGCACAUAUUUGCUGAAAAAUGUGUUCUAUAAAAUCAAUUGCUUCAUUUAGAAAGAGAAAUACAGUUGGAUUGUUAAGAGCAAAAGUGUUGGAAUUAAAACAAAAAACGUUCAAAUGUUGAUCCUAUUACCUGGUAGUUAUAGGAGGUUGGGCACCAACUCUCAGGAGCCACACCUGACAAAUCCACACUCAGGAGGUUCUGUGAGUAUAAAAUGUUUCACAGUAAACCCUUAGAAUAGAAUCUGGCACAAUAUUAGCUACUUCUAUGACUGAGGAAAAAUGUAGAGUGAAGGGGUACUAUAACAUCACCUUGAUACAUUUAACAGAAGCAAUAAUUACAAUUAUUAAAACUUACUUUAGAGAAAUUCCCAAGGCAACAAUUUUUUUUUAAAUCUCAAAUCACUGAUAUCAUCCAAUUCCUAUUCCUAGGUGCCUGACCUGACACUUGGGUGGUUUGGAGUGUUUUCAAACCUUCAAGCUGAGGUUCUUUUUUCAACUGUGUAUCUCAUCUUUGAUAUGGAUAUUCUAGUUAAAAUUUUAUAGUGUAGUAGAGAACUACUUGUAAUCAUUCUUCUCAAUUCAAACCUUUCUCUUAUUCUAUUCAUUUUCUCAUUUUGAUUUAUUUAUUUUUUAUGGCCACACCCAUGGCCUAUGGAAGUUUCUGGGCCAGGGACUGAAUCCCAGCUGCAGCUGUGACCUACACUACAGCUGCAGCAAUCCUGGAUCCUUUAAUCCACUGAACUGGGCCAGAGAUUGAACCCACUCCUCCUCUGUGACCUAAGAUCUGAGCCACUUCAGUUGGAUUCUUCCCAUUCUGUGGCUCAGCAGAAUCGAAUCUGGCUAGUAUCCAUGAGGAUGCAGGAUUGAUCCCUGGCCUUGCCAGGUGGGUUAAGGAUCCAGCGUUGCCAUGAGGAUGCGGCCUGGAUCCAGCAUUACUAUGUCUUGGUGUAGGCUGGCAGCUGUAGCUCCAAUUUGACUCCUAACCUGAGAACCUCUAUAUGCCGUGGGUGCGGCCCUAAAAAGACAAAAAAAGAAAAAAACAUGUUUUAAUGAUAUAUUUCCAAUUUCUCUAAAAGAUAUUUUCCUAUAGCCUAUAAUCUUACCAAGCACCAAGUUUAUAAAUAUUCUUACUAGCAAGUAAAUAAAUUUAUUUUAGUUAAAAAGUAACUACUGAAUAAAUAUCCUUUGUCAAUAGAUGUCUAAAGUAUUGGUAAGACUAUGUGGCCCACAAAACUGCAACACCUGCAUGCUUGCUAGAAAUGCAAAUUCUUAAGCCCCACCCAAAACUACUAAAUCAGAAUCUUCAGGGGGCAGGACCCAGGCAUCUGUGUUGCAUCAAAUCCCUCAGGUUAUUCAAUGCACACUUGAGUGUGAGUAGCACUGGCCUGAAAGCUUUAUUCUCCAGAACUUUACAACGUAACAGCACCAUCUGUUGGUAGUGACUGUCCCAGAACCAAGACUUGAAGUUGUACAGGGAAGUAUGCCCAUUCAAUAUCAGUCCUCAUGCACUGUAUUAAAGAUCUAGAAUAGAGAGAGUGCCUGAUGGAAAGAUACCUACACACACUGAGGCAUAAGCUCAAGAAAGCUUACAGCUUAGAGGAAAUGAGUAUAAACAAAAAAAAUUCAUUUUUUUAAAGUACCAAUAAGGAGCUAUUGGGGCACAGAAGCUAUAGAGAACAGGUCAAUAAGAAGCAUGAAAAUGCUCCGAAGCAGUGGUGACAUUUACACCAAGUAUUGUCAAAAAAAAAAAAAAAAAAUUAGCCACAUUAUAUGUAAAAGUAAGCAAAUAAAAAUAAAAAUUGAAGCCAAUGCUAACUGAGCACUUACUAUGUACCUAGAACUGUUUCUGAGGCUCUAUCCCUGGGUCUAAAGAUGCAAAACAAUCAGUUCAGGCCAAAAGAGAGUAGCAGGCACAUUCUCGGCAUUCUCUGGUACAAUAAAUGAAUAAACAUGAAAAUACCAUGUAUUUGGUUAAAUUCUCCAUAAAAGAGAAAGAUUUUUAAACUAUCCUACCUAGAAUUUACCUGAAAGGAAAAGGGAAGUCUUACCAUUACCAAAGUAUUUUGAAAAAUUACCAAGGUAUUUUGAAAAUUUGCCUUCACGUUUUAUAAAAUUUUAACAACCAUUAAAAUCCCUUAUUAAAAACUCCUACACUGCUUUAUAGUAAGCAACACUAAGAAGUUCUUGCUGGGCACAGAACACUGCAUUUCAAGUAUUUUCUAUGUAUUUAUUUAGACUAUAACAGUUUUUAAAAGGCUGUUCAGCAUUUCAAACCACAGGCACUUUCAAAAACACUUUCUAUAGCAGGACACUAAAGUGAGUUAAAGGGUAAGUAAACUAGUGUUUAAUUUACUUAUUUCUGUAGGAUUUUUGUGAGGCGAAGCCUUUCCAUUUUUGGUUGGUUAACAGCCACUGCACAUAUUCUGGAGUUUUAUGGCUUAAUCCACAUCUUUAUCUAAAUGAAUGUUUAUCAUAAUAAUCAUUAAUGGUGAUGACUAGCAGGCCGGCAUAAUUUCAAUGUUUUCAUGUUAUACAUUAAUAUUAAUUCUUGUGACACACUUGGGACUACUGCAAAUAGGUUUGUGUGUCCACUGCCAGGAUUAUAUUAGGUAAAAAUGAAGACAAUUAGCAGUACUUGUAAGGAUGUACAGACAUUAAAGCACCAACACUUAGCUAGUUGCCAGAAGCUACCUAAGACAAAGCAAAGAUCAAAUUCAUAAUAAUGCCAGUUUGGCAAGUAUCUUUUGGGAAAUCACUCAUUUUCCAGGCAGAAUUUAGAAAAAAGGGUUUCACUGAUAGUGAAAUUUAAUCAUGUAAAUGUUCUGAUUGUUGGGGUUUGAAAAUCAGGGAAUCUCUCCAAAAGAGUUACAUUCUCCAUCUGCAAGACCUCUAAUAAAUCUUCAUAGACACUGUUACAUCUUCACAAAACCCAAGCAUUAUCUAAAUGAUUUUAUCGGAAGCAUUUAUUAAUAGCUGUGAACAAAAAUCCACUAGAAACUCCUUCAGUUAAAUGGGACUAAACCCUUAUAAUUUUUUUUUCCAAAUGUCCAUCAGCAGACGAUUGGGUUCCGAAGAAGUGGUAUAUAUACACCAUGGAAUACUACUCAGCCAUAAAAAAUAACAAAAUGAUGCCAUUUGCAGCAACAUGGAUGAAACUAGAGACUCUCAUACCGAGUGAAGCAAGUCAGAAAGAGGAAGACAAAUACCAUAUGAUAUCACUUAUAUCUGGAAUCUAAUAUAAGGUACAAAUGAACCUUUCCACAGAAAAGAAAAUCAUGGACUUGGAAAAUAGACUUGUGGUUGCCAAGGGGGAGGGGGAGGGAGUGAGGUGGUUGGGGAGCUUGGGGUUAACAGAUACAAACUAUUUCCUUUGGAAUGGAUUAGCAAUGAGAUCCUGCUGUGUAGCACUGGGAACUAUGUCUAGUCACUUAUGAUGGAGCAUGAUACUGUGCAAAAAUAGAAUGUGUACAUGUAUGCGUAACUGGGUCACCAUGCUAUACAGUAUAAAAAAGAUUGUAUUGGGGAAAUAACUAUUAAAUAAUAAUAAUAAUAAUAAUUCAUCCUUAUAAAUUUGAAAAACAAAUGCCAAAUUUCCAGAAAUUCUUCAGAGGUUGAUACCAGUUAAGAAGAUGAUUUAGAAUCAGACAAAGUUGGGUUCAGUUUUUCAGUCCUGAAUAUUACUUGGCUGGGUAUGGGAAAAUUACCUCUUCCCAAGGGUGUGGUAAAUAUUAGAUGAGCACAAUAAGCACUCAAUAGAAUCUCCAUUUUAUAGAUAAGUAACCUAAGCCUGAGAUGUUUAAGUGAUUUGUUCCAGGCACCAUAAUAAGCAAGCAGAAAGUCUAAACUAUAAACCUUUUUAGCUGACACCUCAAUGCAAGUUUAUUCUA
rnacentral:lncRNA from 1 species